rnacentral:misc_RNA from 1 species
AAUCGUGGGCAUUUACGUCAUUUGGAAGCGGCCAAAAGGGUCAUAAUAUACAGAUGCCAGAAUAUGAUGGCUUUUUGGCCAUUUGUGGAACUGUGGGGACCAAUGUUAGCAAAAUCUCAAUGAUCAGAACUAUAACAUCUCCCUUCUACCAACAUUACUAUUUUAGCCCUCAAAACAAGUCUAGAUUACGAGAGUGACCACGCUAGUAAUUACACACGUAGCAUGAUCAAAACUACAGUGUCAGUCUCGUAAUUACGCCGCUGGUUGCACUGCCAUUUCCAUGCUCUCCGUGCCAGAAAAUCCAAUGAGAGAUACAUGUUACCGUAUAGUCGGUUUCAAGCUGUAGCAGGUCAAGGAUAUAAACAUUUUCUUUUAUUUAUUUUUACUUUUCCAUUUUUACGACAUCGUUUAGUUCAGGUGAAUAGCCGGUGUCAUUCUACAGGACGAAAAUGAACCGCCCUCCGUCGCUCAUGAUCGUACACGUGUAAUUAAAUUUGGGGUAUUUUGACUUUUCCCCCUCUCUGUCCGGCGGGACCCUUUUUUAUGGCUGAUUAAAUGGUCAACAUCUCUCUCUAAGUGGGUCCCACUUAGCAACCACCUAGGUCAAAACUCAGCUAUCGCCGGACACGGCAUGGCCCGCAGUUUCUAUAUGUUCUGCUAUACUAGUAAAAUUCUUUUUUAGUAUAGUGUACGCUCUGCAUUGGGUUGCAAUGGGGUUGCUGUGAGACUGAAUGCAGAUAAUAAUAAUAAUAAGAGAAAUAAUGGGAUUGGUGAAUUAGUUACCCUAUCAACCGCUGACGGGUGGUCACUGUUUUGGUAGUGUCGAGCCAGUUCAAGGCAGUAAAGAACACAGCCAGCAGUUAGAGGAAUGGCGUUCUGGUCAAACCCACGGCCUGGGUCCAACGGCACAGAAGGCCACCCAUUUACGGGGUCAUUACUGUUCACGAACGCGAACCCUUCAACGUAAUCAAACGACGCGCCCUCUGGAAGAGUGACGAGCCACUCUGCGUCCCGGGUGAAGUCUUCGAACUCGGAAUACACCACCCUUAUCCAUCUCAUCAUGUCUGGUGCUGACUGCAACUUCACCCUAGCUCUGGUAAUGAUGCCGAAUUGACCAAGACCACCCAAGGCUCCAAAGAAGAGUUCAGAAUUUUUUGUUUCGGAGCAAGUCAAUAUAUCACCUUUUCCUGUUACCACAUCUAAUUCACUCACGUUUGACGAUUGCGGUCCAUAACGGAACGCUUGCCCACUAACGCCGGCGUUAGAUAACGUCCCUCCUACGGUUAGACCCAGAUAAUCAGUCCACGACCUAGGAGCAAGAUUGAACCCGGAAACGCAUCGUUUUAGUACAUCUUCCCAUAAUGCCCCUCCGGAGACAUCAACGAAGAUUUCUCCAUUCAUUUUCACAAUCUUGAAGUGGUUUUCUUCGGUGGACCUCAUGUCUAUGACCAGACCACCAUCGGCCAUGGCCUGACCGUUGAUGGAGUGGCCGUUACCCCUCGCAGCCACCGUCAGACUGGGUGACCGAUACGCUGCUUUCACUGCCACAGCUAUGUCAUCAGCUCCGGCAGGCCUGAUUAUAGCCAAGGGUUUAAAAGAAUACAAGCCACCAAAAUCUUUACCGGCUAACCCGGUAGCCACGCAGUGUAUGCUGCCUUGGACUUGGAGGUCUAGUGACUUACAAAUGUUGGGGAGGUCGUCAUCUUGUCUAGAUUCCGUGUCGUUCUCGUGGAUGAAUCUCUCCAGGUAUGCUAUCAUCAUCGCCGCCGCAGCCGCCGAACUGAGUUACGAGUCAAAUGAUCCGGUAGCCCGUCUCUCUUUGUUUCUUUCUUUUUCUCACUCUAGCUCUUUUGCUGCAUAACUCUUUUGUUUGUACAGCUUUGGGUUCAGUCGCGAGUUGAUGGGCUUAAAUAGCGGUUGGUCUUAGAUUAUUUAAGGAAAUUAACGUUUAUUAUGUUAAUUAAGCAAUUAUUAAAUAUUUGGCGUCGCCCUAAAUUUCUAUUUCCUGUUGACAUUGUAAUCCUAUGC